AUACGGAGGAUGCAGGCGUUAUCCGGAUUUAUUAGGUUUAAAGGGUGCGCAGGCGGUUUUUUAAGUCAGUGUUGAAAGUUUGCAGCUUAACUGUAAAAUUGGCAUUGAAACUGAAAGACUUGAAUAUGGUAGAGGUAGGCGGAAUGUGUAGUGUAGCGGUGAAAUGCUUAGAUAUUACACAGAACACCAAUUGCGAGGCAGCUUACUAUCCCAUUAUUGACGCUGAGGCACGAAAGCGUGGGUAGCGAACAGGAUUAGAAACCCCGGUAGUCC
rnacentral:rRNA from 1 species